GACGAACGCUGGCGGCGUGCUUAACACAUGCAAGUCGAACGGAAAGGCCCUGCUUUUGUGGGGGGCUCGAGUGGCGAACGGGUGAGUAACACGGGAGUAACCUGCCCUUGACUUUGGGAUAACUUCAGGAAACUGGGGCUAAUACCGGAUAGGAGCUCCUGCUGCAUGGUGGGGGUUGGAAAGUUUCGGCGGUUGGGGAUGGACUCGCGGCUUAUCAGCUUGUUGGUGGGGUAGUGGCUUACCAAGGCUUUGACGGGUAGCCGGCCUGAGAGGGUGACCGGCCACAUUGGGACUGAGAUACGGCCCAGACUCCUACGGGAGGCAGCAGUGGGGAAUAUUGCACAAUGGGCGGAAGCCUGAUGCAGCAACGCCGCGUGCGGGAUGACGGCCUUCGGGUUGUACACCGCUUUCGCCUGUGACGAAGCGUGAGUGACGGUAAUGGGUAAAGAAGCAGCGGCUAACUACGUG
rnacentral:rRNA from 1 species